AGAGUUUGAUCCUGGCUCAGAACGAACGCUGGCGGCGUGCCUAACACAUGCAAGUCGAACGUGAUCCAGAGCUUGCUCUGGUGAAAGUGGCGCACGGGUGAGUAACGCGUGGAUAACCUACCCUGGUAUCCGGGAUAACAUUCCGAAAGGGGUGCUAAUACCGGAUAAGCCCACGGGCUCUUUGGAGCUUGCGGGAAAAGGUGGCCUCUAUUUAUAAGCUACUGUAUCAGGAUGGGUCCGCGUACCAUUAGCUAGUUGGCGGUGUAACGGACCACCAAGGCGACGAUGGUUAGCUGGUCUGAGAGGAUGAUCAGCCACACUGGAACUGAGACACGGUCCAGACUCCUACGGGAGGCAGCAGUGGGGAAUUUUGCGCAAUGGGGGAAACCCUGACGCAGCAACGCCGCGUGAGUGAUGAAGGCCUUUGGGUCGUAAAGCUCUGUCAGAGGGGAAGAAAUGAUAUAGUGCUAAUACCACUUUAUCUUGACGGUACCCUCAAAGGAAGCACCGGCUAACUCCGUGCCAGCAGCCGCGGUAAUAC
rnacentral:rRNA from 1 species